rnacentral:rRNA from 1 species
UGCCAGCCGCCGCGGUAAUACGGAGGGUCCAAGCGUUGUUCGGAAUCACUGGGCGUAAAGCGCGUGUAGGCGGUUUCGUCAGUCGGAUGUGAAAUCCCAGGGCUCAACCCUGGACGUGCAUCCGAUACUGCGAAACUAGAAUCCCGGAGGGGGUGGCGGAAUUCCUGGUGUAGAGGUGAAAUUCGUAGAUAUCUGGAAGAACACCAGAGGCGAAGGCGGUCUCUUGGUCCGAAACUGACGCUGAGGCGCGAAAGCGUGGCGAGCAAACAGGAUUAGAUA